GGGAGUGGUUGUGUCCCGGUGGGCGCCCUGGUCUUCAACAUCAGUGGCUGGUUGCGCGGAGCAAGCGGCGGUGGGUUCGACUCCCAUCCUCUCCCG
rnacentral:tRNA from 1 species